GACGAAAGCUGGCGGCGUGCUUAACACAUGCAAGUCGAACGAAGUGGCGCACGGGUGAGUAACGCGUAAUCAACCUGCCCUUCAGAGGGGGACCACAGUUGGAAACGACUGCUAAUACCGCAUACUGAAGGAGGGGAUUGCGUCUGAUUAGCGAGUUGGAGGGGUAACGGCCCACCAAGGCGAUGAUCAGUAGCAGGUCUUCGAGGAUGAUCGGCAACAUUGGGACUGAGACACGGCCCAAACUCCUACGGGAGGCAGGAGGGGGGAUUCUUCCGCAAUGGACGAAAGUCUUACGGAGCAACGCCGCGUGCAUGAUGACGGCCUUCGGGUGGUAAAGCGCUGUUAAUCGGGACACGGUACCGGGGUAGAAAGCCACCGCUAACUGCAUGCCAGCAGCCGCGGUAAUAC
rnacentral:rRNA from 1 species